rnacentral:rRNA from 1 species
GACGAACGCUGGCGGCGUGCUUAACACAUGCAAGUCGAACGGAAAGGCCCUGCUUUUGUGGGGUGCUCGAGUGGCGAACGGGUGAGUAACACGUGAGUAACCUGCCCUUGACUUUGGGAUAACUUCAGGAAACUGGGGCUAAUACCGGAUAGGAGCUCCUGCUGCAUGGUGGGGGUUGGAAAGUUUCGGCGGUUGGGGAUGGACUCGCGGCUUAUCAGCUUGUUGGUGGGGUAGUGGCUUACCAAGGCUUUGACGGGUAGCCGGCCUGAGAGGGUGACCGGCCACAUUGGGACUGAGAUACGGCCCAGACUCCAACGGGAGGCAGCAGUGGGGAAUAUUACACAAUGGGCGGAAGCCUGAUGCAGCAACGCCGCGUGCGGGAUGACGGCCUUCGGGUUGUAAACCGCUUUCGCCUGUGACGAAGCGUGAGUGACGGUAAUGGGUAAAGAAGCACCGGCUAACUACGUG